rnacentral:lncRNA from 1 species
GCGACAAAUCUUGGAUCUGCGUGACAAGUCUUGGCUCUGUGUGACAAAACCUGGCUCUGGGUGACAAACUUGUCCCUGUGGCACAGCGCAGUGACCAGCCCGGUGGGGACAAAUCAGGGACAGGCGCCAGCCCAGCCCAGUGUCUUCAUGGAGACCAAAACCUUGGGACAAGAUCCGUGCGCUGCUGAUGUGUCCCUGCGCCUGCGGAGCACCAUCCUCGCUGGACACGGAUCCAGGAUGGAAAAGAACCUGGCCCCGGCACAGGGGGGUCCCCAUUCCUACCCCACACCCCCUCUCUGGAGGCUGUGGGUGGAGGUGCAAGGGCGUGAGCCCCUCGCCGGCCGCGGCGCCCCGACACGUGUCACAAUAGUA